rnacentral:rRNA from 1 species
UACGUAGGGUGCGAGCGUUGUCCGGAAUUAUUGGGCGCAAAGAGUUCGUAGGCGGUUAUCUAAGUCUGGGGUUAAAGCCCGAAGCUCAACUUCGGCAUGGCAUUGGAAACUGGGUAGCUAGAGUGUGGUAGAGGUAUCGGGAAUUCCUGGUGUAGCGGUGAAAUGCGUAGAUAUCAGGAGGAACACCGGCGGCGAAAGCGCGAUACUGGGCCAUAACUGACGCUGAGGAACGAAAGCCAGGGGAGCGAAAGGG